AGCUGGAUGUCUCCUGAGAAGCAGAACAAGGAGGAUAGGUGGGACAGAGAACUACAGCUCCUAAAGUGUUUUCUUCUAGAUCCCACUGAGGGGACGGGGGAGCGAGUGAACGGCUGCAUAGUGUUUGCUGCCUCCAAGUUAAACCACAAGGUGAGGUGACCUUGAUGGCUAUCUCUUUGUGGAAAGCCCCUUAGCUAUUUUACUCACUUGCAUCCUGGUGCUGAAUCUGUGGCACACCUGUGAAUUUCUGUGAAUCCAGAGCUAGUUCUGCUACUUUUAUACCCAUUUUAUAUCCUGGUGAACCAUCUGUGCUUUUGUCCUUCUCCUCAUUCACUUCAAAUAACUUGCCACAGGGACUUUUAAGUGGGAACCUCAUCCAGAAUAGGUGCUUCUGAAGACAUUUACCAAGCAAGAAUAAAACACUUUUUUGUCAAGUUCCCCUUAAGUCCCUGCAAAUUCUGUGGAUAUAUUUGAGAAAAGACUGUAAUGUACUGGAGCAGAGGAUUACUCUAAUGCAGUCACCUUUGAGGUGGAACAUUGGUAGCUCCCAAAAGAAAAAGAGAGAAGAAAUCUGGAACCAGCACUCAGGCAAAACUCUUUUUCCAUGGCCUGACUCUGUUUCUGUCUCAUUGUAUUAAUAUUGUCUCAGCUCCAGAUAGUGUCAGUUACAUUCCCUUCAGUGAGCCACAAAAAACACCUACAGUAUUUUGUGCACUCAACUGGAGGCAAUCUGCUAACGCUCAAGUGCUCAUUGAAUGGAAAAUGAUGCAACAGUUGGCUAGCUGGAAACAUUAUACUAUGUAAUAAACAACAUACUUUUCUGUUUUCUCCUCUCUGACCCAUCACAGACAGGCAUCCUUCUGUGUACCUCAUUUGUGGGAGACUGGACAGUUAAAACUCAGAUAAAGUAAUAGAGGAAGGAAAAAAAACUGUUGAGGAUGAACAAAACCAGCUGAAUUGUUCUUCCUUAGGUUUUAGUGCACCUGAUGUCCCAAAGAUUGUGACCCUCUUAAGAGAGAGCAAGAUAGUCUGGAUUUUACCCUCUUCCCUCACAAAUUGCCAGUAUAUGUGGGACAUUUUUUUCAACAUUUUGAGGACGUUUAUUAAUGG